GUGGUGAAGACAAUGUGCCAGGUUUCACCGGGAGCGUCAUCGCCGGUGAUCUUGGUGUUCAAGAGGCAUCGACCAGUGUAAGGGUUCUUAGGUUUGAAUUUGUUGACAACGAUUCCUUCUUCCUGUUUCUUUGACUCCUUGACUACUUUCACUGGGGCCUCGGUAGCCUCUGUUGUCACCUGAGCCUUCACUGACACAACUCUGCCCCCAACUCUGUAACACUGUGUGCUCUGUCCGUUGUUGCAGGAGAUAAGAUAUAUCAACAAUUAUGCAUGUCAAGAUCCCAUCCAGCUUUGUGCGAUUUCAAAGAAGAUGAAAUAAAUAAAUUGAACUGUUACCUUCUUGAGGAAAAUCCUUUGAGGGGACACAGAGGAUAAUGAGGUUUUGGUGAGUAGAGAAGACGACUUGGAGGAAGGUAAAGAGACUGCAGCACUUAUCGCAGCAGCCAUGUCUGAUCAGAAUCGCAAACGAAGAAGAGG
rnacentral:lncRNA from 1 species